rnacentral:rRNA from 1 species
AGUCAAGUAAUUAAGUGCAUGUGGUGGAUGCCUUGGCAGUCAGAGGCGAUGAAAGACGUGAUAGCCUGCGAAAAGCUCCGGGGAGGCGGCAAAUAUCCUUUGAUCCGGAGAUGUCUGAAUGGGGGAACCCACCUACUUUAAGGUAGGUAUUGCAACAUGAAUACAUAGUGUUGCAAGGCGAACGAGGGGAAGUGAAACAUCUCAGUACCCUUAGGAAAAGAAAUCAAUUGAGAUUCCCUCAGUAGCGGCGAGCGAACGGGGAUCAGCCCAUUAAGUUAUGUGUGUUUUAGUGGAACGCUCUGGGAAGUGCGAACGUAGAGGGUGAUAUUCCCGUACACGAAAGGGCACACAUAAUGAUGACGAGUAGGGCGAGGCACGUGAAACCUUGUCUGAAUAUGGGGGGACCAUCCUCCAAGGCUAAAUACUCCUGACUGACCGAUAGUGAACCAGUACCGUGAGGGAAAGGCGAAAAGAACCCCUGUGAGGGGAGUGAAAUAGAUCCUGAAACCGCAUGCAUACAAGCAGUGGGAGCACCUUCGUGGUGUGACUGCGUACCUUUUGUAUAAUGGGUCAGCGACUUAUAUUCAGUAGCGAGGUUAACCGUAUAGGGGAGCCGUAGAGAAAUCGAGUCUUAAUAGGGCGUUUAGUUGCUGGGUAUAGACCCGAAACCAGGCGAUCUAUCCAUGAGCAGGUUGAAGGUUGGGUAACACUAACUGGAGGACCGAACCCACUGUCGUUGAAAAGCCAGGGGAUGACUUGUGGAUAGGGGUGAAAGGCUAAUCAAGCCUGGUGAUAGCUGGUUCUCCCCGAAAGCUAUUUAGGUAGCGCCUCGGACGAAUACCAUAGGGGGUAGAGCACUGUUUCGGCUAGGGGGUCAUCCCGACUUACCAAACCGAUGCAAACUCCGAAUACCUAUGAGUACUAUCCGGGAGACAGACUGGGGUGCUAACGUCCGUAGUCAAGAGGAAAACAAUCCAGACCGCCAGCUAAGGCCCCAAAAUCAUAGUUAAGUGGGAAACGAUGUGGGAAGGCAUAGACAGCUAGGAGGUUGGCUUAGAAGCAGCCACCCUUUAAAGAAAGCGUAAUAGCUCACUAGUCGAGUCGGCCUGCGCGGAAGAUGUAACGGGGCUAAAACUAUGUGCCGAAGCUGCGGAUGUAUACUUUGUAUACGUGGUAGGGGAGCGUUCUGUAAGCCGAUGAAGGUGUGUUGAGAAGCAUGCUGGAGGUAUCAGAAGUGCGAAUGCUGACGUGAGUAACGACAAAACGGGUGAAAAACCCGUUCGCCGAAAGACCAAGGGUUCCAGUCCAACGUUAAUCGGGGCUGGGUGAGUCGACCCCUAAGGCGAGGCCGAAAGGCGUAGUCGAUGGGAAAAUGGUUAAUAUUCCAUUACUUCUGUGUAAUGCGAUGAGAGGACGGAGAAGGCUAAAUCAGCCUGGCGUUGGUUGUCCAGGUGAAAGGAUGUAGGCAUGUAUCUUAGGCAAAUCCGGGGUACUCUAUGCUGAGAUCUGAUAGCAAGCUGUACUUGUACAGCGAAGUGGUUGAUGCCAUGCUUCCAGGAAAAGUCUCUAAGCUUCAGUUACACAGGAAUCGUACCCGAAACCGACACAGGUGGUCAGGUCGAGUAGACCAAGGCGCUUGAGAGAACUCUGCUGAAGGAACUAGGCAAAAUGGUACCGUAACUUCGGGAGAAGGUACGCUGUUGUUGGUGAUGGAACUCGCUUCCUGAGCUGACGACAGCCGCAGAAACCAGGCCGCUGCAACUGUUUAUUAAAAACAUAGCACUCUGCAAACACGAAAGUGGACGUAUAGGGUGUGAUGCCUGCCCGGUGCUGGAAGGUUAAUUGAUGGGGUUAGCGUAAGCGAAGCUCUUGAUCGAAGCCCCAGUAAACGGCGGCCGUAACUAUAACGGUCCUAAGGUAGCGAAAUUCCUUGUCGGGUAAGUUCCGACCUGCACGAAUGGCAUAAUGAUGGCGGCGCUGUCUCCAGCAGAGGCUCAGUGAAAUCGAAAUCGCUGUGAAGAUGCAGUGUACCCGCGGCUAGACGGAAAGACCCCGUGAACCUUUACUGCAGCUUGACACUGAACUUUGACCUUACUUGUGUAGGAUAGGUGGGAGGCUUUGAAGCUGGAACGCUAGUUCCAGUGGAGCCGUCCUUGAAAUACCACCCUGGUAAUGUUGAGGUUCUAACUCUGUCCCGUGAUCCGGGACGAGGACCGUGUCUGGUGGGUAGUUUGACUGGGGCGGUCUCCUCCUAAAGAGUAACGGAGGAGUACGAAGGUGCGCUCAGCGUGGUCGGAAAUCACGCGUAGAGUAUAAAGGCAAAAGCGCGCUUAACUGCGAGACCCACAAGUCGAGCAGGUACGAAAGUAGGUCUUAGUGAUCCGGUGGUUCUGUAUGGAAGGGCCAUCGCUCAACGGAUAAAAGGUACUCUGGGGAUAACAGGCUGAUACCGCCCAAGAGUUCAUAUCGACGGCGGUGUUUGGCACCUCGAUGUCGGCUCAUCUCAUCCUGGGGCUGAAGCAGGUCCCAAGGGUAUGGCUGUUCGCCAUUUAAAGAGGUACGCGAGCUGGGUUUAGAACGUCGUGAGACAGUUCGGUCCCUAUCUACCGUGGGCGCUGGAAAUUUGAGAGGAUCUGCUCCUAGUACGAGAGGACCAGAGUGGACGAACCUCUGGUGUACCGGUUGUGACGCCAGUCGCAUCGCCGGGUAGCUAUGUUCGGAAGGGAUAACCGCUGAAAGCAUCUAAGCGGGAAGCCUACCUCAAGAUAAGAUUUCCCUAGGACUUUAUGUCCUCUAAAGAGCCGUUCGAGACUAGGACGUUGAUAGGUUGGAUGUGGAAGCAUAGUGAUAUGUGAAGCUGACCAAUACUAAUUGCUCGUGAGGCUUGACUAUACAACACCC